GAUGAACGCUGGCGGCGUGCCUAAUACAUGCAAGUCGAGCGAACGGACGAGAAGCUUGCUUCUCUGAUGUUAGCGGCGGACGGGUGAGUAACACGUGGAUAACCUACCUAUAAGACUGGGAUAACUUCGGGAAACCGGAGCUAAUACCGGAUAAUAUUUUGAACCGCAUGGUUCAAAAGUGAAAGACGGUCUUGCUGUCACUUAUAGAUGGAUCCGCGCUGCAUUAGCUAGUUGGUAAGGUAACGGCUUACCAAGGCAACGAUGCAUAGCCGACCUGAGAGGGUGAUCGGCCACACUGGAACUGAGACACGGUCCAGACUCCUACGGGAGGCAGCAGUAGGGAAUCUUCCGCAAUGGGCGAAAGCCUGACGGAGCAACGCCGCGUGAGUGAUGAAGGUCUUCGGAUCGUAAAACUCCGUUAUUAGGGAAGAACAUAUGUGUAAGUAACUGUGCACAUCUUGACGGUACCUAAUCAGAAAGCCACGGCUAACUACGUG
rnacentral:rRNA from 1 species